rnacentral:tRNA from 1 species
GUCAUGGUGGCCGAGUGGUUAAGGCGUUGGACUUGAAAUCCAAUGGGGUCUCCCCGCACAGGUUCAAACCCUGUCCAUGACG